rnacentral:rRNA from 1 species
UACGUAGGGGGCUAGCGUUGUCCGGAUUUAUUGGGCGUAAAGAGCGUGUAGGCGGCCAAGUAGGUCCGUUGUGAAAACUGGAGGCUUAACCUCCAGCUGUCGAUGGAAACCAUUUGGCUAGAGUCCGGAAGAGGAGAGUGGAAUUCCUGGUGUAGCGGUGAAAUGCGCAGAUAUCAGGAAGAACACCCGUGGCGAAGGCGGCUCUCUGGGACGGUACUGACGCUGAGACGCGAAAGCGUGGGGAGCGAACGGG